UACGAAGGGGGCUAGCGUUGCUCGGAAUCACUGGGCGUAAAGCGCACGUAGGCGGAUUGUUAAGUCAGGGGUGAAAUCCUGGAGCUCAACUCCAGAACUGCCUUUGAUACUGGCGACCUUGAGGCUGGAAGAGGUUAGUGGAAUUCCCAGUGUAGAGGUGAAAUUCGUAGAUAUUGGGAAGAACACCAGUGGCGAAGGCGGCUAACUGGUCCAGAUCUGACGCUGAGGUGCGAAAGCGUGGGGAGCAAACAGG
rnacentral:rRNA from 1 species